GUAAAAGGUUUAGGAUACUGGUAGAAUGCCGCCUUGGCAUGGCGGAGGCCGGGGGUUCAAAUCCCCCCUCGUCCA
rnacentral:tRNA from 1 species